GCCAUAAACCCCAAAUGAGGCUCACUAUGUCCUCUGCUUUAAAAACUGUCACAUUAUCAUGCUCUGCUUUGUCCUGCUCUCAAAUGCUUCAUUCAGUGAAAACUUCCAGGGGAAAUUUGUGAGACAGCUGUAAUCAUCCUGGGGUAAUGCAAACGGUAUGUAGUAGCACUGUUAAUAAUCAGAACGGUGGGAUUCUUAUAUUAAGCACAAAAAGAAGGUGAAUUUUAAGAUACAACUGUGCUCAGGUAGGACCUACAAUCCUUUCAAUACUAAAUAUUCUAGUUUUUGUUUGUAUCACUCUGUUGCACAGAAUUUCCAUUUCUUCUUCUUCUUUUUUUUUUUUCUUUUGAGACAAAGUCUCACUCUGCUGUCCAGGCUGGAGUGCAGUGGCGCGAUCUCGGCUCACUGCAACCUCUGCCUCCCAGGUUCAAGCGAUUCUCCUGCCUCAGCCUCUCAAGUAGCUGGGACUACAGACUUCCUCUGAUGCACAAACCUGGGAUGUGCUGUGCAAAUCAGCUACCUGGGCUUCCCACCUGUGGAUGCUCACUGACCUGGGGCCGCACCAGGUGAUUUCAGGACUUCCUCAGAGAAAACCCAGGCAAGACACCAGCAACAGAGCUACCCUGAUAAUUAUUAAAUUAGCUCUAUGUGGAGAAGCCAUAUUUGAAUAAGUUAUUAGUGGAGGUCCUUUGUAAACCAUGCUCCAUUAUAUAAAUGGCAGAUGUCAUUAUUUAUACCCAGACUACUCCUUUGGAAGACAAAAGAGAAAUGAAUCUUACUUAGCCUAGAAUAGCA
rnacentral:lncRNA from 1 species